GAAAGUAAAAGUCGUAACAAGGUCUCCGUAGGUGAACCUGCGGAGGGAUCAUUACAGAGUUCAUGCCCUACCGGGUAGAUCUCCCACCCUAUGUUAUUAUUACUUUGUUGCUUUGGCGGGCCGUUAGGCUCCGGCCCGACUACCGGCCCCGGCUGGUAAGCGCCCGCCAGAGGACCCAAAACCCUGAAUAUUAGUGUCGUCUGAGUACUAUAUAAUAGUUAAAACUUUCAACAACGGAUCUCUUGGUUCUG
rnacentral:misc_RNA from 1 species